AGAGUUUGAUCAUGGCUCAGAUUGAACGCUGGCGGCAGGCCUAACACAUGCAAGUCGAACGGUAACAUUUCUAGCUUGCUAGAAGAUGACGAGUGGCGGACGGGUGAGUAAUGCUUGGGAACUUGCCUUUGCGAGGGGGAUAACAGUUGGAAACGACUGCUAAUACCGCAUAACGUCUACGGACCAAACGGGGCUUUUAGCUCCGGCGCAAAGAGAGGCCCAAGUGAGAUUAGCUAGUUGGUAAGGUAAUGGCUUACCAAGGCAACGAUCUCUAGCUGUUCUGAGAGGAAGAUCAGCCACACUGGAACUGAGACACGGUCCAGACUCCUACGGGAGGCAGCAGUGGGGAAUAUUGCACAAUGGGGGAAACCCUGAUGCAGCCAUGCCGCGUGUGUGAAGAAGGCCUUCGGGUUGUAAAGCACUUUCAGUUGUGAGGAAAAGUUAGUAGUUAAUACCUGCUAGCCGUGACGUUAACAACAGAAGAAGCACCGGCUAACUCCGUGCCAGCAGCCGCGGUAAUACGGAGGGUGCGAGCGUUAAUCGGAACUACUGGGCGUAAAGCGCACGCAGGCGGUUUGUUAAGCUAGAUGUGAAAGCCCCGGGCUCAACCUGGGAUAGUCAUUUAGAACUGGCAGACUAGAGUCUUGGAGAGGGGAGUGGAAUUCCAGGUGUAGCGGUGAAAUGCGUAGAUAUCUGGAGGAACAUCAGUGGCGAAGGCGACUCCCUGGCCAAAGACUGACGCUCAUGUGCGAAAGUGUGGGUAGCGAACAGGAUUAGAUACCCUGGUAGUCCACACCGUAAACGCUGUCUACUAGCUGUUUGUGACUUUAA
rnacentral:rRNA from 1 species